rnacentral:misc_RNA from 1 species
UCAAACUUGGUCAUUUAGAGGAAGUAAAAGUCGUAACAAGGUUUCCGUAGGUGAACCUGCGGAAGGAUCAUUAUUGAAUAAACCUGAUGUGGUUGUAGCUGACUCCUCUGGAGUAUGUGCUCGCCCAUCAUCUUUAUAUCUCCACCUGUGCACCUUUUGUAGACUUGGAUGUAACACUUUCUGAGGCAACUCAGUCGGGAGGAAUGCUUUCACAAGCUUUCCUUGUAUAUGUCCAAGUUUAUGUUUUUCAUAUACACCAAAGAAUGUAACAGAAUGUAUCAUUGGGUCUUGUACCUAUAAACUAUAUACAACUUUCAACAACGGAUCUCUUGGUUCCCGCAUCGAUGAAGAACGCAGC